UAACGCUUCCGUGCCAGCAGCCGCGGAUAUACGGGGGGUGCAAGCGUUAAUCGGAAUCGCUGGCGUAAAGGGUGCAUGUAGCGGUACGUUAGGUCUGUCGUGAAAUCCCGCGGUCAACCUGGGAAAUUGGCGUGGAAACCGGUGUACUAGAGUAUGGAGAGGCUGGUGGAAUUCCAUUAGGUGUGCGGUGAAAUGCGUAGAGAUCGGAGGAACUCCAGUGGCGAAGGAGCGGCCACUGGCCCAAUACUGACGCGAGGCACGAAGCCGUGGGGAGCGGAAAACAGGAUAGAUACCCUGGUAGCCACGCCCUAACGAUGCAAUACUAGCAAUGUUUGGUGCUAGCGUACUGAUGUCGUAGCUAAGCGAUAAGCUAUUCACAGCCUGGGAAGUAGGCCGCAAGUUAAAACUCAAAGAAUUGACGGCGGGACCCGCACAAGCGGUGGGCAUUGGUUUAAUUCGAUGAACGCGAAGAACCACUUACCUGGGCUUGACAUGCGGAAUUCUGCAGAGAUCGGAAGUGCCCGUCUCGGGGAAUCGGAACACAGUGUGCAUGGCUGUCGUCGCUCGUG
rnacentral:rRNA from 1 species